rnacentral:tRNA from 1 species
GGCUCUGUAGUGCAGUGGUUAGCACGUCCGUCAAUAAUACGGAAACCCUACGUUCGAAUCGUAGUAGAGCCA